UUUUUUUUUUUUUCUUUUCUGUGCACUGUCCUCACAAAAAGCAUCACAUUUUGUUCUUCAUCACCACUUUCCUUCCUAUCAUGACCACUGAAUAUGAGAAAACUCUGGCCUUAAGUGACAUAAGAAAUCACAGAGGAAAAUCAUGGCAGACCUAAGAAUGAAAUCCAGACCUUUCAAACUCAGAGGCUGAACCAUUGGACAUGAUUUAAUCAGCAGAGAAAAGCACUGGACCUCAGAGGUUAUGAACUACAGGAGAGGGAAUACAAAAGAGACAGUAAAGGAAUGCUUAUUAAGGCUUCAUUAGCUUUUCUGUUCCUCCCCGAUCCCCAACCCCAAAGUACAAUUAUUUAUAAACACCAAAAGUUUUUUUAUUACCAUAAGGUGACAUUUGAAAAUUCUACCUUUAGAAGGUGAAACUAUAUCAAGAGAAGAUUUUACAAAGAAGAGCUCUUUCACUUCAAUAGCACUAGAAUAUCUGAAAAAUUUCAAUCAGGCUAUGCUACUACAACAGCCUUGGCAAGUUUUUUGUAAUGACCUUGUAUUAAAGGUGGAAUAUGACAGGUUUUUCAUUUCUACAUGUCUCAAUGGUGAAAGCUUGUAACCAUAAAUAAAUGCUCUUUCAAACUCUUGUGAGUUAUGGAGUUUCCCUAGGCUCUAUAUUGGAUUCACACUUUCAACAUCUAUACACUUCCACUAGUUUAUAUUUUUUGCCAUAAUGUUGCAGUGUGUCAUUUUUAUGCAGAUGAUACCCUGAGUUAUCUAUCCCUCAAUAAAGAAACUCUGCGACAGCAGAGCUAAUGCCUGACUGAUGUUAAUAGGUGAACAGCUCAGAACUUUGUGAAGAUAAUGCAAAUAAGACAAAUAGCAGCAUUUGGGUCUCCUUCAUGUACAUUUAUUUCAUCCUGUUCCUAACACAGACAGCUGCUGUGUUACUUGUGUGAUUUCAGGAUAAAAUCAUAGGAUGGUUUGAGUUGGAAGGGACCUUAAAGCUCCUCCAGUUCCAACCCCCUGCCAUAAGCAGGGACACCUUCCGGUUGCUCAAAGCCCCGUUCAACCUGGCCUUGAACACUGCCAGGGAUGGGGCAGCCACAGCUUCUCUGGGCACCCUGUGCCAGUGUCUCACCACCCCCGUAGCAAAGAAUUUCUUCCUGUCUUGAUCUAAAUCUCCCCUCUUUCAUCUUAAAGCCAUUCGCCCUUGUCCUGACUCUGCCUGCCCUUGUAGAAAGUCCCUCUCCAGAUUUAAGCCCCCCUUUAUGUACUGGAAGACUGUUACAAGGUCUCCUCUGAGCC
rnacentral:lncRNA from 1 species